rnacentral:rRNA from 1 species
AACUUCUGAAUGUUGACCUCGAAUCAGGUAGGAAUACCCGCUGAACUUAAGCAUAUCAAUAAGCGGAGGAAAAGAAACCAACAGGGAUUGCCCCAGUAACGGCGAGUGAAGCGGCAACAGCUCAAAUUUGAAAUCUGGCUCUCGGGCCCGAGUUGUAAUUUGUAGAGGAUGCUUUUGGUGAGGUGCCUUCCGAGUUCCCUGGAACGGGACGCCAUAGAGGGUGAGAGCCCCGUCUGGUUGGACACCGAUCCUCUGUAAAGCUCCUUCGACGAGUCGAGUAGUUUGGGAAUGCUGCUCUAAAUGGGAGGUAUAUGUCUUCUAAAGCUAAAUACCGGCCAGAGACCGAUAGCGCACAAGUAGAGUGAUCGAAAGAUGAAAAGAACUUUGAAAAGAGAGUUAAACAGUACGUGAAAUUGUUGAAAGGGAAGCGCUUGUGACCAGACUUGGGCUUGGUUGAUCAUCCGGGGUUCUCCCCGGUGCACUCUUCCGGCCCAGGCCAGCAUCAGUUCGCCCUGGGGGACAAAGGCUUCGGGAAUGUGGCUCUCUCCGGGGAGUGUUAUAGCCCGUUGCGUAAUACCCUGUGGCGGACUGA